AUUGAACGCUGGCGGCAUGCCUUACACAUGCAAGUCGAACGGCAGCACGGGUGCUUGCACCUGGUGGCGAGUGGCAACGGGUGAGUAAUACAUCGGAACGUACCUUAUCGUGGGGGAUAACGCAGCGAAAGUUGCGCUAAUACCGCAUACGCCCUGAGGGGGAAAGCGGGGGACCGUAAGGCCUCGCGCGAUUAGAGCGGCCGAUGUCUGAUUAGCUUGUUGGUGAGGUAAAAGCUCACCAAGGCGAUGAUCAGUAGCUGGUCUGAGAGGACGAUCAGCCACACUGGGACUGAGACACGGCCCAGACUCCUACGGGAGGCAGCAGUGGGGAAUUUUGGACAGUGGGGGCAACCCUGAUCCAGCAAUGCCGCGUGAGUGAAGAAGGCCUUCGGGUUGUAAAGCUCUUUUGUCAGGGAAGAAACACCGGCUCUAACACAGUCCGGGAAUGACGGUACCUGAAGAAUAAGCACCGGCUAACUACGUGCCAGCCGCCGCAGUAA
rnacentral:rRNA from 1 species